rnacentral:rRNA from 1 species
GAUGAACGCUGGCGGCGUGCCUAACACAUGCAAGUCGAACGGACAAAGAUGAAACCUAGUGAUUCUUUGUUAGUGGCGGACGGGUGAGUAACGCGUGGGUAACCUGCCUCACACUGGGGGAUAACAGUUAGAAAUAGCUGCUAAUACCGCAUAAAGCGCACAGAGCUGCAUGGCUCAGUGUGAAAAACUCCGGUGGUGUGAGAUGGACCCGCGUCUGAUUAGCUAGUUGUGGGGUAACGGCCCACCAAGGCGACGAUCAGUAGCCGGUCUGAGAGGAUGAACGGCCACAUUUGGGACUGAGAUACGGCCCAGACUCCUACGGGAGGCAGCAUGGGGAAUAUUGGGCAAAUGGGGGAAACCCUGACCCAGCAACGCCGCGUGAAGGAAGAAGGUCUUCGGGAUCGUAAACUUCUGUUCUUGGUGAAGAGAAG